AGCCAUGACCAUGCCAUCCUGACAAGCCCGAUGUCUGAUCUCGGAAGCUAAGCAGGGUCGGGCUUGGAUAGAACUUGGAUGGGAGAUCACCUAGGAAGACUAGGUAGGUGCUGUAG
rnacentral:rRNA from 1 species